rnacentral:tRNA from 5 species
GGGGCUGUGGCCAAGCCAGGCAUGGCGACUGACUCCAGAGGCCCGCGCCCGGGACGACGCUCCAGACUGGUAUACCGAGCGGCCGACUGAUCAUCGGUCCGCUGUGACGACCCUCUGGAGUUCCGAGGCGCACCGGAGAUAUCAGUCGAUCGGGGGUUCAAAUCCCUCCGGCCCCA